rnacentral:rRNA from 1 species
GUAGGUGGCAAGCGUUGUCCGGAAUUAUUGGGGCGUAAAGCGCGCGCAGGCGGUUCUUUAAGUCUGAUGUGAAAGCCCACGGGCUCAACCGUGGAGGGUCAUUGGAAACUGGAGAACUUGAGUACAGAAGAGGAAAGCGGAAUUCCACGUGUAGCGGUGAAAUGCGUAGAGAUGUGGAGGAACACCAGUGGCGAAGGCGGCUUUCUGGUCUGUAACUGACGCUGAGGCGCGAAAGCGUGGGGAGCAAACAGGAUUAGAUACCCUGGUAGUCCACGCCGUAAACGAUGAGUGCUAAGGUGUUAGGGGGUUUCCGCCCCUUAGUGCUGCAGCUAACGCAUUAAGCACUCCGCCUGGGGAGUACGGCCGCAAAGGCUG